GAUGAACGCUAGCUACAGGCUUUACACAUGCAAGUCGAGGGGCAGCAUGGUCUUAGCUUGCUAAGACUGAUGGCGACCGGCGCACGGGUGAGUAACACGUAUCCAACCUGCCGUCUACUCUUGGACAGCCUUCUGAAAGGAAGAUUAAUACAAGAUGGCAUCAUGAGUCCGCAUGUUCACAUGAUUAAAGGUAUUCCGGUAGACGAUGGGGAUGCGUUCCAUUAGAUAGUAGGCGGGGUAACGGCCCACCUAGUCUUCGAUGGAUAGGGGUUCUGAGAGGAAGGUCCCCCACAUUGGAACUGAGACACGGUCCAAACUCCUACGGGAGGCAGCAGUGAGGAAUAUUGGUCAAUGGGCGAGAGCCUGAACCAGCCAAGUAGCGUGAAGGAUGACUGCCCUAUGGGUUGUAAACUUCUUUUAUAAAGGAAUAAAGUCGGGUAUGUAUACCCGUUUGCAUGUACUUUAUGAAUAAGGAUCGGCUAACUCCGUGCCAGCAGCCGCGGUAAUACGGAGGAUCCGAGCGUUAUCCGGAUUUAUUGGGUUUAAAGGGAGCGUAGAUGGAUGUUUAAGUCAGUUGUGAAAGUUUGCGGCUUAACCGUAAAAUUGCAGUUGAUACUGGAUAUCUUGAGUGCAGUUGAGGCAGGCGGAAUUCGUGGUGUAGCGGUGAAAUGCUUAGAUAUCACGAAGAACUCCGAUUGCGAAGGCAGCCUGCUAAGCUGCAACUGACAUUGAGGCUCGAAAGU
rnacentral:rRNA from 1 species